ensembl:lncRNA novel transcript
ACUGGGGUCCUUUUCCACCUUGUGAGAAGGCCUUUCCUGUGUUUACACCCACCUGCAGCGUGGAUAAAGAGUUUCUGGCCGGGCGAGGUGGCUCACGUCUGUAAUCCCAGCACUUUGGGAGGCUGAGGCGGGCGGAUCACGAGCAAAAGCACACAAGCCUGUGGGAAAAUAAUUUGGCAAUAAGCAGCGAGAACCAUACAAAUACCAUGUUCUCUAGCUCAAGACUCUGAUUGCUGGGAAUUUACCCUGAUGAAAUAACCCGAAAGAAGGGGAAAACCACUCAGGGCAAGGGUGUGGCUCUGGAGUUACGUGCUUUGCCUUGACGGCACUAGAAAGCAAAGUUCCGAGGACUGUGUUGCAACUUGGAAGCCCGCGCAAGCAGCUGGAAGGGGUGCUGUGAUUACAGCCGCGUGAAGGCAUGCGCGCUGGGGCCUGGCCAGCGGGGUGCCUGGAGAGGUACCUGGUCCAUCCCUCCAGGCCCCUUAGAGAGAGGACUCAGAGAAGAGACUGAGGGAGAUGGGAUGUGCCAGGGUUUCCUGCUAGGAGCCUCAUCUUUCUACCCCUUCUCUGUUCCCGAGAACACAGUGGUCAUCCCCUCUGGAAGAUGAAGUAACAGGGCACCAUCUUGGAAGCAAAGAGAGCAGCCCUCGCCAGACUCCAAGUCUGCUGGAGCCUUAAUCUUGGACUUCCCAACCUCUAGAGUUGUGAGAAAAUAAAUUUCUAUUUAUAAUUUACCCAGUCCAUGGAGUUGUGUUACAGCAGCACAAGUGGACUAAGACGCUGUCAACACUUGUUAAUUUCUGUUGUUAUGCCAUCGUAGUGGUUGUAAACUGAUAUCAUGUUGUGAUUUUGAUUUGCAUUUCCCUGAUGAUUAGUGAUGUUGAGCAUCUAUCUGUUCAUGUGCUUGUUGGCCCUUUGUGUAUCUUCUUUGAAUAAAUGUCUAUUCAAGUUCUUUGUCCAUUUUU